rnacentral:miRNA from 1 species
UUAUAAUACAACCUGAUAAGCG